rnacentral:rRNA from 1 species
AGUGAACGCUGGCGGUAGGCCUAACACAUGCAAGUCGAACGGCAGCACAGUAAGAGCUUGCUCUUACGGGUGGCGAGUGGCGGACGGGUGAGGAAUACAUCGGAAUCUACUUUUUCGUGGGGGAUAACGUAGGGAAACUUACGCUAAUACCGCAUACGACUACCGGGGAAAGGCAGGGAUCUUCGGACCUUUCGCGGAUGGAUGAACCGAUGUCGGAUUAGCUAGUUGGCGGGGUAAAGGCCCACCAAGGCGACGAUCCGUAGCUGGUCUGAGAGGAUGAUCAGCCACACUGGAACUGAGACACGGUCCAGACUCCUACGGGAGGCAGCAGUGGGGAAUAUUGGACAAUGGGCGCAAGCCUGAUCCAGCCAUACCGCGUGGGUGAAGAAGGCCUUCGGGUUGUAAAGCCCUUUUGUUGGGAAAGAAAAGCAGCAGGUUAAUACCCCGCUGUUCUGACGGUACCCAAAGAAUAAGCACCGGCUAACUUCGUG